AUUGAACGCUGGCGGCAGGCCUAACACAUGCAAGUCGAGCGGAUGAAGGGAGCUUGCUCCUGGAAUCAGCGGCGGACGGGUGAGUAAUGCCUAGGAAUCUGCCUGGUAGUGGGGGAUAACGUCCGGAAACGGGCGCUAAUACCGCAUACGUCCUGAGGGAGAAAGUGGGGGAUCUUCGGACCUCACGCUAUCAGAUGAGCCUAGGUCGGAUUAGCUAGUUGGUGGGGUAAAGGCCUACCAAGGCGACGAUCCGUAACUGGUCUGAGAGGAUGAUCAGUCACACUGGAACUGAGACACGGUCCAGACUCCUACGGGAGGCAGCAGUGGGGAAUAUUGGACAAUGGGCGAAAGCCUGAUCCAGCCAUGCCGCGUGUGUGAAGAAGGUCUUCGGAUUGUAAAGCACUUUAAGUUGGGAGGAAGGGCAGUAAGGUAAUACCUUGCUGUUUUGACGUUACCAACAGAAUAAGCACCGGCUAACUUCGUG
rnacentral:rRNA from 1 species